rnacentral:rRNA from 1 species
CCUACGGGAGGCAGCAGUGGGGAAUAUUGCACAAUGGGGGAAACCCUGAUGCAGUGACGCCGCGUGAGUGAAGAAGUAAUUCGUUAUGUAAAGCUCUAUCAGCAGGGAAGAAAAUGACGGUACCUGAGUAAGAAGCCCCGGCUAACUACGUGCCAGCAGCCGCGGUAAUACGUAGGGGGCAAGCGUUAUCCGGAGUUACUGGGGGGAAAGGGAGCGUAGACGGCAGUGCAAGUCUGGAGUGAAAGGCGGGGGCUCAACCCCCGGACUGCUCUGGAAACUGUACGGCUGGAGUGCAGGAGAGGUAAGUGGAAUUCCUAGUGUAGCGGUGAAAUGCGUAGAUAUUAGGAGGAACACCAGUGGCGAAGGCGGCUUACUGGACUGUAACUGACGUUGAGGCUCGAAAGCGUGGGGAGCAAACAGGAUUAGAUACCCGUGUAGUC